AGGGGGGAGUGGAGUUAUUGGUGUAGGCGUGGGUGUCACCUCUGGAGCCGGCGUCACCUCGAGAGCUUCGCGCUCCUCGCCUGACGAAGAACUGUCGUUGCUAAAGACCAUAGUGCUGACGUUACUUUGCUAGUUGCCCCACGGAGGGCGCCAACUGUUUGAUCGGAAAAAGGUAAUUAAGAAGAUGUGGGUUUAACAAAGACGUCUUAUUUAUGGUCGGAGAAAACGUUCAGUCGGUUACAAGAGAAAUGAAGAGAAUGCGACAAAGAGGAAGCCGGUGGCUCGAUGAGCUACCGGAAAAGUACAACUAACGGC
rnacentral:lncRNA from 1 species